UACGGGGGGGGCAAGCGUUGUUCGGAAUUACUGGGCGUAAAGGGCUCGUAGGUGGCCAACUAAGUCGGACGUGAAAUCCCUCGGCUUAACCGGGGAACUGCGUCCGAUACUGGUUGGCUUGAGUUUGGGAGAGGGAUGCGGAAUUCCAGGUGUAGCGGUGAAAUGCGUAGAUAUCUGGAGGAACACCGGUGGCGAAGGCGGGUCUCUGGGCCGAAAUUGACGCUGAGGAGCGAAAGCGUGGGAGCAAACAGG
rnacentral:rRNA from 1 species